rnacentral:ncRNA from 2 species
AUAAUAUUGCUGUUCGUCGGCGCCUGAAGGCUCGGGCGCCGCUUGAGAAAGCGGCCCGGCACGAAGGCUUAAUAGGGAACACGGCAAAACCGUGGCUGCCCCGCAAUUGUACGCAGCGAGUCCGCGCUCCACUGCCACUGGUUUCGACCGGGACGGCCGGCGCGGAUCAUGACCUGCCAGCCAAGAGACCUGCCGACUCCAUCGCCUUCGC